rnacentral:miRNA from 1 species
UCGCCUCUGAAGCUCAAAAACA